CGAGUGAAGCGGCAAUAGCUCAAAUUUGAAAUCUGGCGUCUUCGGCGUCCGAGUUGUAAUUUGAAGAAGGUAUCUUUGGAGCUGGCUCUUGUCUAUGUUCCUUGGAACAGGACGUCACAGAGGGUGAGAAUCCCGUGCGAUGAGGUGUCCAGCUUCGUGUAAAGUUCCUUCGACGAGUCGAGUUGUUUGGGAAUGCAGCUCUAAGUGGGUGGUAAAUUCCAUCUAAAGCUAAAUAUUGGCGAGAGACCGAUAGCGAACAAGUACUGUGAAGGAAAGAUGAAAAGAACUUUGAAAAGAGAGUGAAAAAGUACGUGAAAUUGUUGAAAGGGAAGGGCUUGAGGUCAGACUUGGUUUACCAGGCCAGCAUCAGUUUGGAUGGCAGGAUAAUAGCUAAGAAAUGUGGCUCUACUUCGGUGGAGUGUUAUAGUCUUGGUUGAUACUGCCUGUCUAGACUGAGGACUGCGUCUUUGACUAGG
rnacentral:rRNA from 1 species